UGCAUGAGGCCUUUACACACCGCCUAGGUCAAUGAGAAUUACGAGGGUUUCACUCUACCUAUGCUUGAUUCUCAUCUUUGCACGAUACAGGUCAUCUCUUGGAGUGGACAACAGAGCACUUGGACCAACACGACUGUUCAAAAGACUUCUAGGAAGAACUCAUCAACCUAUCUAGGAAAUGAUGGGUCAUCUUUUAGAGUGGACAGAGGAGCAUUUGGACCAACCAGACUAUUCAAAAGACUUCUAGAAAGAACUCAUCAACCUAUCCAGGAAAUCAUGGGUUCCUUCUCUCUCUCUUCCAUACAUUCUUUUGAUUUCUUAUGUGUUUACUGUACUAUGAUCAAAAAGAUAUCUCUUGGCUAAUCCCAUGACUUGUGUGGAAUUUCAUGAACAAUUUGAUUUUUAUAAAUAAAAAUGUGUU